UUCGGGUUGCGAGAACUUUUGAUAGAGAAUAAAAGGUAUCCCCUAAUAUCCGCUCCUGCUGCCUCCCUUAGGAGAAUAAGCACCGGCUAACUACGUGCCAGCAGCCGCGGUAAUACGUAGGGUGCAAGCGUUAAUCGGAAUUACUGGGCGUAAAGCGUGUGUAGGCGGUUCGGAAAGAAAGAUGUGAAAUCCCAGGGCUCAACCUUGGAACUGCAUUUUUAACUGCCGAGCUAGAGUAUGUCAGAGGGGGGUAGAAUUCCACGUGUAGCAGUGAAAUGCGUAGAUAUGUGGAGGAAUACCGAUGGCGAAGGCAGCCCCCUGGGAUAAUACUGACGCUCAGACACGAAAGCGUGGGGAGCAAACAGGAUUAGAUACCCUGGUAGUCCACGCCCUAAACGAUGUCAACUAGCUGUUGGGGCCGUUAGGCCUUAGUAGCGCAGCUAACGCGUGAAGUUGACCGCCUGGGGAGACGGUCGCAAGAUUAAAACUCUAGGAAUUGACGGAGAUUUUU
rnacentral:rRNA from 1 species